UAAGACUAACUACUGUACGACUGGGUACUGUUUUAUAUUUGCAACCGGUUAUACAAAGGCAUCAGGCUAAAUUGCUUUUAGUCUGAUUGAGGUCGAAAAAAGAAAUAAAGUCUUCCUUUAUAUAUUGCUUCGUUUUCCCCCCUCUCCAUUAGACUGAAUUGGAAAUUACAAAGACAGAACCCCGACACUAAAACAGACAGACCGUGGAAUUAAAUUGCAUCGAAACUGUCGAAGAUAGUGGCAAAGGUCAAAAGAAGCCUGCAGACUGUGAAGCCAUCAGCAUGAAAGAGGAUCGAGGCAAGCUAUCGACGCGAUGUUUCUCAUAAAAUUUCCAUCUCAAAAUUCUCUCGCUGAUGCAAUUUGAAUUUGGAGGAGUGCAAGUUUUACAAGCUGAGAAUCAAGGAACCGUUUAUACAGUGUGUUGUGUCUGGUUUUGGCUCCUUCACAUCCUUUCGGAAGAAGACGUGCAGUUCUGAAGCUUUUGCCGACUUCAUUAAUGAAUUGCAUAUAAACUGACUCAAAAACUAAGCUACCAAAGUCUUAAUAAAACAUCUAAUAUCUUAUAGAUGCAUUAAAGAUACAUCAAAGCUACCUUUAAAUAUAUUUUUUUACCAUUAAGCUAAAAUGAGUUUGAGCUCCCACUAAAUACGAGACUGAUAGUCAAAGUCUGAAUCAGAGUUUAAAAUUUUUCAGCUUUGGCCAUUUUUCGUUCUUCGAUAUUCAUCAUUUGAUCUUAACUCAGGGUUGUUUGCUUUGAGACAAUUUUGAUAUAUAACUAUUGACUUUUACAGUCUUACAACUGUUUUCACUAAAGAUUGAGGUAUAAAUUGUGGUGAAAAUCUAUCAUUUUACAAAUUAAUUCAAAUAUAAUAUCAAAAAUAUUGCUCAUCAUAAGUUGAAUUUUCCUUCAUCAGUUUUUAAUAUAGCUUAGAAAAGCUUAAGACCUUUUUGAAGUUGAACUGAUAUUGUUAAUGCUCAGCGAUCGAAUUAAAGCCAUGAACAUAACUGAAGAAUGGUGAAUAUUAAGAAUGACAAUGAUUCGACUGUAUUCGAAUUAUUUUCAAUUAUACCAUGUUGUAAGUCUGUAAAUGUGAAAAUUGUGACUUUCUUAGAGAGAGAAAGAGAGAGAA